rnacentral:rRNA from 1 species
GAUGAACGCUGACAGAAUGCUUAACACAUGCAAGUCUUUGGCGAAGCUGUGCUUGCACAGCCUAGCCAAGGCGGACGGGUGAGUAACGCGUCAGGAACUUGCCCUGCAGUCAGGGAUAACAGACGGAAACGACUGAUAAGACCUGGUAAAGUCAGGCGGACUCAUGUCCAGCCUGAUGAAAAGAGAUGCUGCAGGAGAGCCUUGCGUCCUAUUAGCUUGUUGGUGGUGUAACGGCCCACCAAGGCGAUGUUAGGUAGCCGGCCUGAGGGGGUGGACGGCCACAGGGGGACUGAGAUACGGCCCUUACUCCUACGGGAGGCAGCAGGGGGGAAUAUUGGAAAGUGGGGGCAACCCUGAUCCAGCAAUUCUGUGUGCACGAUGGAGGUUUUCGGAUUGUAAAGUUCUUUCAGGAGGGAAGAAAAAAAUGACGGUACCGGCAGAAGAAGCGACGGCUAAAUACGUG